UCUCUCUCUCUCUCUCUCUCUCUGCAGGAGCUCCAUUUGGCUGUACCAUCCUACAUGCUCACCUAAGAUGCAGACACAGCUCCUCAGCCUCGGGCCAUGCCUGUUCCCACCCAGGCAAAGGAUUCAGAGGAGAGCAAAGCCCUGGCCAUCCUUAAUCCAGGAUUGCUGUCAGCUGCUUGGUCACUUCAUGCCGCCAGAAGCUGAGCUCCCAGCUCUGGACAUGGGAUAUGGAAGAAAAAGGGAGAAAGGAGAAGAUGAACUCUUAAUUAUGUCUCUUGCAAAUGCACAGAGAAAAUGGAUUAGCCUCGGCAGCUGUUUGUUGCUAAACCGAAUCCUCCCCAGAAACUUUGCAAGGAGACCGGGAGUCAGCAAACCUCCUCCCAUGGCUGGCCAGGGUGGGCCACAAGAGUUUUAGAAUACAGAUGCAACUGACAAAGAAGAUGAGCCAUCAGACUGAUCAAAUGGCAACACUGGUCCCCAUUCUAGCCAGACAGUGCUGCCAAUGUCCCCGAAAGCCCAGACACGUCCCAUGCAAUCAGGGAAAGCUUCAUGGAGCACCUAGGGGCACCAGGCAGAGGGAGUGGAGGGACAAUGCAGACUGCCUGCCCUCGGGGAGCUUGGUGUCAGAAUGCCAUCAUUGCACAAAGACUGCAAGUGUGAUGGGCCUAAGGAAGAAGGAGUUAAAGGGUGAGAAAUCUUUGUUCAGUUCUGAGCCCCAUUUUUUAAUGGGGUUAUUUG
rnacentral:lncRNA from 1 species